GAGUCUGGCCCUCAGAGACAUCAGUUCCUAUUUGUUGGAUGGAAGGAAAGAAUUACACAAGUCCAGGAGAAAAAAAGAGGUAAAGGCAGAAAACUGCACCCAGCCGAUCCGAGCUGCUUAAGAAUACACAAAACAGUGGAAAAAAUCUCAGGAAUCAUCUUUCCAACAACUGAAGAGGAAGCACAUCUAUCUACAAAGAUCUUAAAUCCAAACUGCCAAAUCCAGCCCAAGUAGCACCUUUUUCUGCCAAGUGUGAGUGGCUGGUUUGGUGGUUUCAAAUAUCUACAGUUUCGAGAGUUUUCGGCUGUCAGGUGCAGAUGAGAAAGCAGCAAAAGAAAUUCCAGCAAUGACACAGAAGCUAACCGAAGAAGCUAUGCUCCGGGUAACAUUAUCGAUGGUGAUGAGACAGGUAUCAUUUCUGCAUGUCUCAGAGGGCCUCCGUCUCAAAGGCAGGAAAGCAUGACCCAGAAUUUAAGGCUACAAAAGAUCUUGUAAGUCUUGUGUUCAGCGCCAAUGCCCAGCAGAGGAUAAUGAGCCAGCCGCCCACAGCAGGUUUUCCAACUUUCUACCCAAUGUCCAAUGGACCAGCCACAGGAGACUUCCCUUUUACAACAGAACCAACCACAGGAGAGUUCCCUUUUACAAGGGAGCCAACCACAGGAGACUUCCAGACCAAUUACCAAGGGAUGUUCUGAGAAUCCUACUGCCACCGUCUUCCUUUGGGUGAACAGCGGAGCAGAGUUGGACUGCAAAGUCAAGUUCCCACUCACCCCAAGAAAAGUCAGUUGGUACCCCCCAUCCCCUUCUGCUGACCCUUUAAUGCAGGCUUGCUUCUCAGCCCCCAUUCUCUGCUGUCUGAGAAACCUGAGAGGCUGUCAAUUGGUAUUUACUCCUUAUGGUCAGAACUAGCUUUAAUAUUAAAAUCAAACAUCCAAGAAAAUGUCUGAGGCAACAUUUUCUGUUUCUGAGCAUGAUUUGACCGAUGAAAUCCUUCCACCUUGUGUGAGCAGCUCCAUAACAGUGGAGGGCAGAUCUGGCCGGGGAGUAGAUGACAGAGAGCGUUGUGAUUUAUUAGAAGGUCUGGGCUGGUGGUUUAGAGGAUCAGAGUUCAGGCCCCUACUCUUCGAUAACCUCAGUGUGGGAUUUGGGAUGAGUUAUUUGACCAAUUUUGAGGUUUUGCUCUCCCCAUUAGAAGAAAUAGACUGUGCUCCUUGU